rnacentral:rRNA from 1 species
CCCUUAGAUGUUCUGGGCCGCACGCGCGCUACACUGAUGCAUUCAACGAGUUUCUUCCUGGUCCGAGAGGAAUGGGUAACCUUUUGAAAAUGCAUCGUGAUAGGGAUAGACUAUUGCAAUUAUUGGUCUUCAACGAGGAAUUCCUAGUAGACGUAGUUCAUCAGACUGCAUCGAUUACGUCCCUGCCCUUUGUACACACCGCCCGUCGCUCCCACCGAUUGAAUGCUCAGGUGAGCCAUUCGGACUUUCAUCAUGCUGGUUUCCAGUUUUGAUGAAGGAAAGUCUUGCGAACCUUAUCAUUUAGAGGAAGGAGAAGUCGUAACA